CUGAAAACACAGAGGAAGAGGACGAGGAAGACAUCAGCAAAUGUAAAGGCAGACUCAAACCCCAACACUUCCGGGUAACAUGCACUGUGAUAAUCCAAAUACUAUUGGAUAAAAGAACGGAUGAACACGUGCAAGACACAAAAGUGGACCUUUAUGUAGUGUCUCUGCAGUGUCCAACGCUGGUGGCCGCCUGGAGGCCCACCAGGAGGCCCCACCCUCAGUGCACAGGACCCAAAGGAUCCAACACUGAGAUGCUGCGUUGGUUCCCAAGAGGCUCUCCACUACAGCACCCUGAGCGAGUUCCCUUUGGACCAGUUUCUGGGAGGAAGAGGAGGGGACCAUGCUGGCUCAGAUGUGGUUUUGAGUUUGUGGCGUUUGAAGAAGCCAAGGAACAUGAUAGAGUUGUAACCAUAUGCAAAUUCAAAAUCUGCUGUCUCACAGAACAUUUUAAAUUUUCAUCUUUUUCUUCUGUACAUCAUGCUUUUAAUAACAUACAUGACAAAUUGAAAUCAUGUUAGAUACUUGUGAAUGACUGCAUGAAUUUUCCCAAAAACAACUGAAAAAGCCAACGCCCAUCGUGUACCAUUUCUCUUUGAGCAGAGAUAAGAGAGUGAAUCCCUCUAAGCUACCUGGAUCAACCCUUGUGUCUUGGGUUUGCCAGAGCAGCCUGAAGCACUUGCAGUUUGUAAAUGCAAACGUUUCUAUUUAAACUUCACAUUUCUCACAUAGGUUAUUUGCCUUUCCUGUGGCUGCGCUUCUUAAUGUUGGACAGAUAGACAUAGACAAGCUCCCUCUAAAACAUGAUCUUUUCAGUGCUGGUUAUCUUCAGAAUCAUUCAAAAUAUUUAUUGCUGUGAUAACCGUCCAAAACUGUGAAGUAUGAAUCUGAUUAGGAUUCAAACUAAUUUUAGGGGUAGAUUUUUCUUAAUCCAUGG